rnacentral:lncRNA from 15 species
UGAAAUUUUAAAGGGGUUACGUGAAUACUUCCGUACCCACUGUGUGUAUAUAUAUAUAUAUAUAUAUAUAUAGUCACAUCUUAAAUUAGCAUGCUAAUAUUAGCAAAACUAGCUUACUACCAAGCUAUUCUACAUUAAUCAUAAGCUAGUUAGUAAGAUAGUGCGUUGCUACAGAGCAACGCACUAUUUAACUACCUAGUUAUUUACAUCAAUCGAUUGCAAGCUAGUUACAUCUGAAAGCUAAUGUUAGAAAAACACAAGCUAAUUAGCAAUUGUUAUUGGAGCAGAACAAAAAGGGGUGGGACUUAGGAAGGGUCAGUUCCAACCAUGACCAAUGUAUUUUUAGUUUUAUAUAUGGUUUUAUAUUUGUGCCAUUGACUGUAUGAUGUGAACCAACUACAUACAAAUACAAAGAAUGCAACUAAGCAUUCGGGCUGUAUUUGUGCUUGUCUGUUUCCUCUAUGGUACUGUACUGGACUGUGAGGUUGUGGGCGUUGGUGUGGAGUGCCAGUGUCAGGAAUGCAUAGAUGUAUGAUGUCUCCUUGUUGUUUUGAAUCCUCCAGAGUGCAUCCGUCAGAAGGCGAAUGCAGAGCCCAGCUCUCCCAAAAUGUGCUGUGCAAUGUGAUCAACACUGCUUCAGCAUUUCCGAGCCUGCAUGAACGCAGCAUGGGACGUUUACCGGUGCGCGCUAGAUGACGUAUAACAACAACAACUACACACUAGACUGGUUGGUUGCUAACCGUGGCUAACAAGCAAACAAUUUAAAACUGAAUGAUUUUAAUAUUAACACAAAAUAAGUGCAAUGCACCUUAAAUAUUUUACCCUGCUAUGAGCUGUUCCUUAACCAAACUAACAAUUGGCUUAGAAUUUACAUUAGCACUCCUUCAGGUGAAUAAUACAAUUAAACACAUUAACCAAAGCUAGCUCUUUGUCAGCAAUUAGCGCGUAGCUAGCGAUUAGCGCUAGCACUCUUUUCAGUAUUAAUACAAUGAAAGUUGAAGUUGUUCUCUUAUUUUGCACAGACAGUGUUUACAUUUGGAAAGCCAUGUUGCAUUUAUGUAUGCAUCCAGUGGGGCAUCACAAUAAAAUGAGGCAUAAUGUGUUAAUUCCACAAUAGGAGAUAUCUUAUGUUGUUACCUAACAGUUUUGGUGUAAAAAGCCUGCAUAUAUCGGUAUCGGGUGAUAUCGGUAUCGGAAAUUGAGAGUUGGACAAUAUCGGAAUAUCGGAUAUCGGCAGAAAAGCCAAUAUCGAGCAUCCCUACAUAGUACACCUGUAACGAGAGAAAGACAAACAAACAACUAAAUGGCAGACCUGGCUUAAUUGAGGGAAAUGAAAUCAAUUUAAUUGUGAUUUCACCGCAACACAAGCAUCUGGUAAUGUUCCACUUAGGAUAGAUCAGUUAAGAAACAUUUUUUUAACUGCGCUUUUGUGUCCACUCAUGUCCUUACAUUGACUCUAUAAGCCACUGGUUCCCAAACCAGAGGUCAGCAAACUUUAUGGGGGGUCACAAGGCCUUCUUGACUUUAAGGGGUAGAAGAAAACUUAUAAGAAAGAAAGUAAGUAAGUAUAUAGACAGUAGGCCUGAAUCUCAGCAUUUCAUUAAUUUCUUUGAAGAAAACUAAACGGAACUUCUUAAGUAAUUUUGAUUAUUUAAGAUUUAAACUUUUCAUAGGAUAAGGGCACAGUGAAGAGCUGAACACAAGCUGUAUUCGUCGAGCCUUCAGUGUCUGGUAAACAGCCUCGUCCUGCAUUAGAAAACACAGAGAAAACACUGAAUUUGUAUGUGUACAAGUAUGUGUGAUUGUUAAAAAUACAUAAUACUGGGAAUAGUAUAGUUUAAAUAUUUUAACAUUGUGCCGUCCUUCAUGACAGAAUCUACAAACAGAUGUUAUGUAGCUCAUCGAUCUGAUGAAUACAUUAUCUAAAAUUAUAUACAAGAAAUAAUUUUAUUUUAUUAUUUUUAAACAAUACAACAUCACCAUAGCAACAUAUGGUCAUGUGUGUUUCGUCGUGCCGUCAUGCCCUUCUGACUUGACUGUUUGUUUGAUUUCCUGUUGUCUGCAAGUUUCUUUUUAGUUUCUGUUUUAUAGGAAGUCAUUUUUGUUUCACAUUAGAAAUAUUUUCUAAUGCUCUUUUUUUUGCUCUGUUCAUUUUAUGCCAUUUUUAUGACAUUGCAAUAUUUUACAUUUUAUGAAAAUGGAUCCAUAUGUAUUUAUUUCAUAAUGUCUUUAUUAUUGAUCUAAUAUUGAACAUUUCAUUCCAUACUAAACGUUGGAACAUACCCACCUUAGAUGAUCUGUGGAUGCUGUUUUAAACAAGAGCCAGCCGUGUAAGCUUACCUUUGUUUAAGUUUCCCACUGUUCUAUUAUGUCUCUGUGUGUUUGUCUUUUAUUGUGAAUCAUUUUGUAAUGUUUGCUCUAGAGCGGUGCUAUAUACACAAACUUACACUCACUUUUGCUCACCAACAGCCACGCACUGCGGCAGCUCUCACAAAC